rnacentral:rRNA from 1 species
CUACAGGCUUAACACAUGCAAGUCGAGGGGCAGCAUGGUCUUAUCUUGCUAAGGCCGAUGGCGACCGGCGCACGGGUGAGUAACACGUAUCCAACCUGCCGUCUACUCUUGGACAGCCUUCUGAAAGGAAGAUUAAUACAAGAUGGCAUCAUGAGUCCACAUGUUCACAUGAUUAAAGGUAUUCCGGUAGACGAUGGGGAUGCGUUCCAUUAGAUAGUAGGCGGGGUAACGGCCCACCUAGUCUUCGAUGGAUAGGGGUUCUGAGAGGAAGGUCCCCCACAUUAGAACUGAGACACGGUCCAAACUCCUACGGGAGGCAGCAGUGAGGAAUAUUGGUCAAUGGGCGAGAGCCUGAACCAGCCAAGUAGCGUGAAGGAUGACUGCCCUAUGGGUUGUAAACUUCUUUUAUAAAGGAAUAAAGUCGGGUAUGGAUACCCGUUUGCAUGUACUUUAUGAAUAAGGAUCGGCUAACUCCGUGCCAGCAGCCGCGGUAAUACGGAGGAUCCGAGCGUUAUCCGGAUUUAUUGGGUUUAAAGGGAGCGUAGAUGGAUGUUUAAGUCAGUUGUGAAAGUUUGCGGCUCAACCGUAAAAUUGCAGUUGAUACUGGAUAUCUUGAGUGCAGUUGAGGCAGGCGGAAUUCGUGGUGUAGCGGUGAAAUGCUUAGAUAUCACGAAGAACUCCGAUUGCGAAGGCAGCCUGCUAAGCUGCAACUGACAUUGAGGCUCGAAAGUGUGGGUAUCAAACAGGAUUAGAUACCCUGGUAGUCCACACGGUAAACGAUGAAUACUCGCUGUUUGCGAUAUACUGCAAGCGGCCAAGCGAAAGCGUUAAGUAUUCCACCUGGGGAGUACGCCGGCAACGGUGAAACUCAAAGGAAUUGACGGGGGCCCGCACAAGCGGAGGAACAUGUGGUUUAAUUCGAUGAUACGCGAGGAACCUUACCCGGGCUUAAAUUGCAGAUGAAUUACGGUGAAAGCCGUAAGCCGCAAGGCAUCUGUGAAGGUGCUGCAUGGUUGUCGUCAGCUCGUGCCGUGAGGUGUCGGCUUAAGUGCCAUAACGAGCGCAACCCUUGUUGUCAGUUACUAACAGGUUCUGCUGAGGACUCUGACAAGACUGCCAUCGUAAGAUGUGAGGAAGGUGGGGAUGACGUCAAAUCAGCACGGCCCUUACGUCCGGGGCUACACACGUGUUACAAUGGGGGGUACAGAGGGCCGCUACCACGCGAGUGGAUGCCAAUCCCAAAAACCUCUCUCAGUUCGGACUGGAGUCUGCAACCCGACUCCACGAAGCUGGAUUCGCUAGUAAUCGCGCAUCAGCCACGGCGCGGUGAAUACGUUCCCGGGCCUUGCACA